GGUUAAGCGACUAAGCGUACACGGUGGAUGCCCUGGCAGUCAGAGGCGAUGAAGGACGUGCUAAUCUGCGAUAAGCGUCGGUAAGGUGAUAUGAACCGUUAUAACCGGCGAUUUCCGAAUGGGGAAACCCAGUGUGUUUCGACACACUAUCAUUAACUGAAUCCAUAGGUUAAUGAGGCGAACCGGGGGAACUGAAACAUCUAAGUACCCCGAGGAAAAGAAAUCAACCGAGAUUCCCCCAGUAGCGGCGAGCGAACGGGGAGCAGCCCAGAGCCUGAAUCAGUAUGUGUGUUAGUGGAAGCGUCUGGAAAGGCGCGCGAUACAGGGUGACAGCCCCGUACACAAAAAUGCACAUGCUGUGAGCUCGAUGAGUAGGGCGGGACACGUGGUAUCCUGUCUGAAUAUGGGGGGACCAUCCUCCAAGGCUAAAUACUCCUGACUGACCGAUAGUGAACCAGUACCGUGAGGGAAAGGCGAAAAGAACCCCGGCGAGGGGAGUGAAAAAGAACCUGAAACCGUGUACGUACAAGCAGUGGGAGCACGCUUAGGCGUGUGACUGCGUACCUUUUGUAUAAUGGGUCAGCGACUUAUAUUCUGUAGCAAGGUUAACCGAAUAGGGGAGCCGAAGGGAAACCGAGUCUUAACUGGGCGUUAAGUUGCAGGGUAUAGACCCGAAACCCGGUGAUCUAGCCAUGGGCAGGUUGAAGGUUGGGUAACACUAACUGGAGGACCGAACCGACUAAUGUUGAAAAAUUAGCGGAUGACUUGUGGCUGGGGGUGAAAGGCCAAUCAAACCGGGAGAUAGCUGGUUCUCCCCGAAAGCUAUUUAGGUAGCGCCUCGUGAAUUCAUCUCCGGGGGUAGAGCACUGUUUCGGCAAGGGGGUCAUCCCGACUUACCAACCCGAUGCAAACUGCGAAUACCGG
rnacentral:rRNA from 1 species